rnacentral:rRNA from 1 species
UACGUAGGGGGGCAAGCGUUGUCCGGAUUUAUUGGGCGUAAAGAGCGUGUAGGCGGCCGUAAGGUCAGCUGUGAAAACUCGAGGCUCAACCUCGAGACGUCGGUUGAAACCAUCUGGCUAGAGUCCGGAAGAGGAGUGUGGAAUUCCCGGUGUAGCGGUGAAAUGCGCAGAUAUCGGGAAGAACACCCGUGGCGAAGGCGGCACUCUGGGACGGUACUGACGCUGAGACGCGAAAGCGUGGGGAGCGAACAGG